CUGGAUUCCCACCAUGGCCUGGGCCCCUCUGCUCCUCACGCUGCUCACGUACUGCUCAGGGGUCAGUUCGCAGCCCGUGGUGACUCAGGAGCCCUCGAUGUCGGUGACCCCAGGAGGAGCUGUCACUCUGUCCUGCAGUCUGAGCACUGGAGCCAUCACCACCAGCAACUAUCCAGCCUGGUACCAGCAGAAACCAGGCUCUGCUCCUCGGCUGCUUAUAUACAACACCAAUAACAGACCCUCCGGAAUCCCUGCCCGGUUCUCUGGGUCCAUAUCCGGUAACAACGCUGCCCUGACCAUCACCGGUGUCCAGGCAGAGGAUGAGGCUGACUAUUACUGUGCUGUGUAUAUCGGUAGCAGUAGUAGUUGGACUCACAGUGAUCCAGCCAGAUGGGGAACUGAGACAAAAACCUCCCCUGUCUUCCCCCGUCAUCUCCUUCUGCCUGGCCUCUGUACUGGCUGCACAGUUUGGUUCCUGCCUGCAAUAUGAGUAGGCCCCUACUAAAUUGACGGCCAUGAUAAACGGAUCGUGGACUGUGAAAAUCUGGUCUUGCCCCCAUGAAAUCUGGUCUUUUGUGUGCUUUUACCUUAUACUAUACAGAUUUCACAGGGGAGACCAGCGUUUCUCACACUGGGGGUCCUGACUCAAAAGGGAGAUGCAGGGGGGCUCACAAGGUUACUUUGGGGGGGGUCGGGGUAUUGCCACACUUAUUUCUGCGCUGCCUUCAGAGCUUAGUGGCCGGAGAGCAGCAGCUGUUGGCCGGGCGCCCAGCUCUGAAAGAAGCACCCUACCCCCAGCAGUGCAGAAGCAUAGGUGGCAAUUCCAUCCCAUGUCACCCUCGCUUCUGUGCUGCUGCCUUCAGAGCCGGGUGGCCGGAGAGUGGCGGAUGCUGGCUGAGGGCCCACCUCUGCAGGCAGCAGCGCAGAAGUAAGGGUGACAAUACCAUACUAGGCCAUCCUUCCUUCUGCUGCUGGUGGCAGCGGCUCCGUCUUCACAGCUGGGCUCCCGGGCAACAGCCGCCGCUCUCUUACUGCCCAGCUCUGAAGGCAGCACCGCCGCCAGCCGCAGGGCAGAAGUAAGGGUAGCAGUAUCGCAACCCUCUCUACGAUAACCUUGCAAACCCUCCUUCCACACAACUCCUUUUUGGGGCGGGACUCCUACAAUUACAACACUGUGACAUUUC